rnacentral:rRNA from 1 species
AUUGAACGCUGGCGGCAUGCCUUACACAUGCAAGUCGAACGGCAGCACGGGAGCAAUCCUGGUGGCGAGUGGCGAACGGGUGAGUAAUGUAUCGGAACGUGCCUUGUCGUGGGGGAUAACGUAGCGAAAGCUACGCUAAUACCGCAUACCAUCUAAGGAUGAAAGCGGGGGAUCGCAAGACCUCGCGCGACAAGAGUGGCCGAUAUCAGAUUAGGUUGUUGGUGGGGUAAAGGCCUACCAAGCCGACGAUCUGUAGCUGGUCUGAGAGGACGACCAGCCACACUGGGACUGAGACACGGCCCAGACUCCUACGGGAGGCAGCAGUGGGGAAUUUUGGACAAUGGGCGAAAGCCUGAUCCAGCAAUGCCGCGUGCAGGAUGAAGGCCUUCGGUGUAACUAGCUUUGUACUAGAACGAAACAGUACUCUCCUAAUUACGGGGGCGAACGUGACGGUACUGUAAGAAUAAGUCACCGGCUAACUACGUAGCCAGCAGCCGCGGUAC